GCUGGGUGGGUUGGUUUAGUGCGCUGGGCUGGGUGGCUUGGUUUGUAGGGUCUGGGCUUAGUGGCUGGGUGUCUUGGUUGGUGUUUGGGGGGUCUCGGCCCUCAGUCUUUCCAGGGUUCCGAGUGGUGGUGGGUCAGAUGAGGUCAGAGGGUCCUGAAGAACACAGGCCAUGAAGAUAAACAGAGAGGGGAGAGAGAAACAGAGAGGAGAGAGACAGAGAUAAACAGAGAGGAGAGAGAAACAGAAGAGAGAGAGAAAAACAGAGAGGAGAGACAGAGAUAAACAGAGUGGGGAGAGAGAAACAGAGAGGAGAGAGAA
ensembl:lncRNA